UACGGAGGUGCAAGCGUUAUCCGGAUUCACUGGGUUAAAGGUGCGUAGGAGGCAGGUAAGUCAGUGGUGAAUCCCCGAGCUUAACUUGGGAACUGCGUUGAUACUAUCUGUCUUGAAUAUCGUGGAGGUGAGCGGAUAUGUCAUGUAGCGGUGAAAAAUGCUUAGAUAUGACAUAGAACACCAAAAUUGCGAAAGCAGCUCGCUACACGAAUAUGACUCUGAGGGGCACGAAAAGCGUGGGGAUCAAAACAGG
rnacentral:rRNA from 1 species